rnacentral:rRNA from 1 species
CCUACGGGAGGCAGCAGUGAGGAAUAUUGGACAAUGGGCGCAAGCCUGAUCCAGCCAUGCCGCGUGCAGGAUGAAGCAUCUAUGGUGUGUAAACUGCUUUUAUACAGGAAGAAACCUCCCGACGUGUCGGGAAUUGACGGUACUGUAAGAAUAAGGAUCGGCUAACUCCGUGCCAGCAGCCGCGGUAAUACGGAGGAUCCAAGCGUUAUCCGGAAUCAUUGGGUUUAAAGGGUCCGUAGGCGGGCCAGUAAGUCAGUGGUGAAAUCUCUCCGCUCAACGGGGAAAUGGCCAUUGAUACUGCUGGUCUUGAAUUAUUAGGAAGUAACUAGAAUAUGUAGUGUAGCGGUGAAAUGCUUAGAGAUUACAUGGAAUACCAAUUGCGAAGGCAGGUUACUACUAAUGGAUUGACGCUGAUGGACGAAAGCGUGGGUAGCGAACAGGAUUAGAUACCCUGGUAGUCCACGCCGUAAACGAUGGAUACUAGCUGUUGGGGGCAACUUCAGUGGCUAAGCGAAAGUGAUAAGUAUCCCACCUGGGGAGUACGUUCGCAAGAAUGAAACUCAAAGGAUUGACGGNNGNGAGNGCGAGACGACGACGAGGGAGGAGG